rnacentral:rRNA from 1 species
UAAAUACUCCUGACUGACCGAUAGUGAACCAGUACCGUGAGGGAAAGGCGAAAAGAACCCCGGCGAGGGGAGUGAAAAAGAACCUGAAACCGUGUACGUACAAGCAGUGGGAGCACCUUCGGGUGUGACUGCGUACCUUUUGUAUAAUGGGUCAGCGACUUAUAUUCUGUAGCAAGGUUAACCGUAUAGGGGAGCCGCAGGGAAACCGAGUCUUAACUGGGCGUUAAGUUGCAGGGUAUAGACCCGAAACCCGGUGAUCUAGCCAUGGGCAGGUUGAAGGUUGGGUAACACUAACUGGAGGACCGAACCGACUAAUGUUGAAAAAUUAGCGGAUGACUUGUGGCUGGGGGUGAAAGGCCAAUCAAACCGGGAGAUAGCUGGUUCUCCCCGAAAGCUAUUUAGGUAGCGCCUCGUGAAUUCAUCUUCGGGGGUAGAGCACUGUUUCGGCUAGGGGGUCAUCCCGACUUACCAACCCGAUGCAAACUACGAAUACCGAAGAAUGUUAUCACGGGAGACACACGGCGGGUGCUAACGUCCGUCGUGAAGAGGGAAACAACCCAGACCGCCAGCUAAGGUCCCAAAGUCAUGGUUAAGUGGGAAACGAUGUGGGAAGGCACAGACAGCCAGGAUGUUGGCUUAGAAGCAGCCAUCAUUUAAAGAAAGCGUAAUAGCUCACUGGUCGAGUCGGCCUGCGCGGAAGAUGUAACGGGGCUAAACCAUGCACCGAAGCUGCGGCAGCGACACUAUGUGUUGUUGGGUAGGGGAGCGUUCUGUAAGCCUGCGAAGGUGACCUGUGAGGGUUGCUGGAGGUAUCAGAAGUGCGAAUGCUGACAUAAGUAACGAUAAAGCGGGUGAAAAGCCCGCUCGCCGGAAGACCAAGGGUUCCUGUCCAACGUUAAUCGGGGCAGGGUGAGUCGACCCCUAAGGCGAGGCCGAAAGGCGUAGUCGAUGGGAAACAGGUUAAUAUUCCUGUACUUGGUGUUACUGCGAAGGGGGGACGGAGAAGGCUAUGUUAGCCGGGCGACGGUUGUC